CCUAGACUUCCGCUGUUUACCUCUUCCCCAACGUUACUGCAUGGGGAUGCAUGCCGAGGGUCGCCCCCAAAUUACGGGGGGAAGUUUGGUGGAGGGUAAGGGUUCCUUCCUGGAUCCCUCGUUCUCUCCCACGAUGGAAAUUCCUAGGAGGAUCUUAAUGGGGACACAAUUUCUUCUCACCCUCCCCUUCGACUUCUCCAUUUCUUCACAUUCUGCUUAAUGGAGGGGGCGGGGGGAGCGAUCUGGUUAAUCCUAGAUUCUCUCAAAUUUUCUCCCUUAAAGGCUACCUUCAGACUCCCAAAGUUCCCUUCUCUGCCAAUUUAUGAAGGGUUCCUGCGGGGUGAACCCCUUCCCCAGCACAGACGGGGGCGAUGGGCCUGGAGGGCCCCAUCCCUCUCACCGCCCCCCGCCCGCCCCAGGAAGGUGGAAUUGGGCUUCUGUCAAUUACAACGCAAACAAUGCUGACAAAUAACAUCCUUCUGCUGCUGGGAAACUAUCAACAGUCCUGUCCCCGAACUGCCUUCUCCGCCGUGCAAAGGACUGCAGGCUUGAGCCCCAGCUCCCUCCAUCCCAUUGAAGUGGUGACUCCCACCCCCCCCCACCCCCGCCUUCGUUUAUGUGGCUCCACCCACCACCUCUUGGGACAGCUCCAAAUUCUUGUAGGCUACGUGGGACCAAUUCACCACUUCUCUCCUCCGAGACCCAGACCAUCCUCGGAGACAUCCCAGUGGUUUCUGCAGCACACCCAGUCUUUGGGGUUGGUCAUAAACAUUCCUCGAAUUUUUCUGCCUUA